AGGUAAGCUACUAAGAGCGAAUGGUGGAUGCCUUGACUGGUAAAGGCGAUGAAGGACGUACUAGACUGCGAUAAGCUACGGGGAGCUGUCAAGAAGCUUUGAUCCGUAGAUUUCCGAAUGGGGCAACCCAAUGUAUAGAGAUAUACAUUACCUAUAUAGGAGCGAACGAGGGGAAUUGAAACAUCUUAGUACCCUCAGGAAAAGAAAUCAAUAGAGAUUGCGUCAGUAGCGGCGAGCGAAAGCGUAAGAGGGCAAACCCAGUGCUUGCACUGGGGGUUGUAGGACUGCAAUGUGCAAGAGGUGAGUUUAGCAGAACAUUCUGGAAAGUAUAGCCAUAGAGGGUGAUAGUCCCGUAUGCGAAAAACAAACCUUAGCUAGCAGUAUCCUGAGUAGGGCGGGACACGAGAAAUCCUGUCUGAAGCUGGGUCGACCACGAUCCAACCCUAAAUACUAAUACCAGAUCGAUAGUGCACAAGUACCGUGAGGGAAAGGUGAAAAGAACUGAGGUGAUCAGAGUGAAAUAGAACCUGAAACCAUUUGCUUACAAUCAUUCAGAGCACUAUGUAGCAAUACAGUGUGAUGGACUGCCUUUUGCAUAAUGAGCCUGCGAGUUGUGGUGUCUGGCAAGGUUAAGCAAACGCGAAGCCGUAGCGAAAGCGAGUCUGAAUAGGGCGCUUAGUCAGAUGCUGCAGACCCGAAACGAAGUGAUCUAUCCAUGAGCAAGUUGAAGCUAGUGUAAGAACUAGUGGAGGACUGAACCCAUAGGCGUUGAAAAGCCCCGGGAUGACUUGUGGAUAGGGGUGAAAGGCCAAUCAAACUUCGUGAUAGCUGGUUCUCUCCGAAAUAUAUUUAGGUAUAGCGUUGUGUCGUAAUAUAAGGGGGUAGAGCACUGAAUGGGCUAGGGCAUACACCAAUGUACCAAACCCUAUCAAACUCCGAAUACCUUAUAUGUAAUCACAGCAGUCAGGCGGCGAGUGAUAAAAUCCGUCGUCAAGAGGGAAACAACCCAGACUACCAGCUAAGGUCCCUAAAUCUUACUUAAGUGGAAAACGAUGUGAAGUUACUUAAACAACCAGGAGGUUGGCUUAGAAGCAGCCAUCCUUUAAAGAAAGCGUAAUAGCUCACUGGUCUAGUGAUUUUGCGCGGAAAAUAUAACGGGGCUAAAGUAAGUACCGAAGCUGUAGACUUGAUUUUAUCAAGUGGUAGGAGAGCGUUCUAUUUGCGUCGAAGGUAUACCGGUAAGGAGUGCUGGAGCGAAUAGAAGUGAGCAUGCAGGCAUGAGUAGCGAUAAUUAAUGUGAGAAUCAUUAACGCCGUAAACCCAAGGUUUCCUACGCGAUGCUCGUCAUCGUAGGGUUAGUCGGGUCCUAAGUCGAGUCCGAAAGGGGUAGACGAUGGCAAAUUGGUUAAUAUUCCAAUACCAACAUUAGUGUGCGAUGGAAGGACGCUUAGGGCUAAGGGGGCUAGCGGAUGGAAGUGCUAGUCUAAGGUCGUAGGAGGUUAUACAGGCAAAUCCGUAUAACAAUACUCCGAGAACUGAAAGGCUUUUUGAAGUCUUCGGAUGGAUAGAAGAACCCCUGAUGCCGUCGAGCCAAGAAAAGUUUCUAAGUUUAGCUAAUGUUGCCCGUACCGUAAACCGACACAGGUGGGUGGGAUGAGUAUUCUAAGGCGCGUGGAAGAACUCUCUUUAAGGAACUCUGCAAAAUAGCACCGUAUCUUCGGUAUAAGGUGUGGUUCGCUUCGUAUUAGGAUUUACUCCGAAAGCGAAGAAACUUACAACAAAGAGUCCCUCCCGACUGUUUACCAAAAACACAGCACUCUGCUAACUCGUAAGAGGAUGUAUAGGGUGUGACGCCUGCCCGGUGCUCGAAGGUUAAUUGAUGGGGUUAGCAUUAGCGAAGCUCUUGAUCGAAGCCCGAGUAAACGGCGGCCGUAACUAUAACGGUCCUAAGGUAGCGAAAUUCCUUGUCGGUUAAAUACCGACCUGCAUGAAUGGCGUAACGAGAUGGGAGCUGUCUCAAAGAGGGAUCCAGUGAAAUUGUAGUGGAGGUGAAAAUUCCUCCUACCCGCGGCAAGACGGAAAGACCCCGUGGACCUUUACUACAGCUUGACACUGCUACUUGGAUAAGAAUGUGCAGGAUAGGUGGGAGGCUUUGAGUAUAUGACGCCAGUUGUAUAUGAGCCAUUGUUGAGAUACCACUCUUUCUUAUUUGGGUAGCUAACCAGCUUGAGUUAUCCUCAAGUGGGACAAUGUCUGGUGGGUAGUUUGACUGGGGCGGUCGCCUCCCAAAUAAUAACGGAGGCUUACAAAGGUUGGCUCAGAACGGUUGGAAAUCGUUCGUAGAGUAUAAAGGUAUAAGCCAGCUUAACUGCAAGACAUACAAGUCAAGCAGAGACGAAAGUCGGUCUUAGUGAUCCGGUGGUUCUGUGUGGAAGGGCCAUCGCUCAAAGGAUAAAAGGUACCCCGGGGAUAACAGGCUGAUCUCCCCCAAGAGCUCACAUCGACGGGGAGGUUUGGCACCUCGAUGUCGGCUCAUCGCAUCCUGGGGCUGGAGCAGGUCCCAAGGGUAUGGCUGUUCGCCAUUUAAAGCGGUACGCGAGCUGGGUUCAGAACGUCGUGAGACAGUUCGGUCCCUAUCUGCCGUGGGCGUAAGAAGAUUGAAGAGAUUUGACCCUAGUACGAGAGGACCGGGUUGAACAAACCACUGGUGUAGCUGUUGUUCUGCCAAGAGCAUCGCAGCGUAGCUAAGUUUGGAAAGGAUAAACGCUGAAAGCAUCUAAGCGUGAAGCCAACUCUAAGAUGAAUCUUCUCUAAGCUCUCUAGAAGACUACUAGUUUGAUAGGCUGGGUGUGUAAUGGAUGAAAGUCCUUUAGCUGACCAGUACUAAUAGAGCGUUUGGCUUAUCUUU
rnacentral:rRNA from 1 species